rnacentral:rRNA from 1 species
CCUACGGGAGGCAGCAGUGGGGAAUAUUGCACAAUGGGGGGAACCCUGAUGCAGCGACGCCGCGUGAGCGAGGAAGUAUUUCGGUAUGUAAAGCUCUAUCAGCAGGGGCGAAAAAAGACGGUACCGGACUAAGAAGCCCCGGCUAACUACGUGCCAGCAGGCGCGGUAAUACGUAGGGGGCAAGCGUUAUCCGGAUUUACUGGGUGUAAAGGGAGCGUAGACGGCAAUGUAAGACAGAUGUGAAAGGGCAGGGCUCAACCCUGUACAUGCGUUUGGAACUGUCGUUCUAGAGUGCAGGAGAGGUAAGUGGAAUUCCUAGUGUAGCGGUGAAAUGCUUAGAUAUUAGGAGGAACACCAGUUGCGAAGGCGGCUUACUGGACUGUAACUGACGUUGAGGCUCGAAAGCGUGGGGAGCAAACAGGAUUAGAUACCCUGGUAGUC